rnacentral:lncRNA from 1 species
GACCGUUCAGUCGAAUUAUUGUAAUCUGAACAGGGUGGUUUUCAUGGUAUGUCCUGACAAAUUGAGGUAUUUCAGUUUUAGGUGAAGAAUGUUUGGGUGAAUGCUGGGACUCGGUAUCAGACGAGUGAUCAGACAUUGUGGGAUGGAAAAAUGAAAAAAAACGGAAGCAAAAGAAAAAAACCUAAGGAAUUCUUCCAGCAACUGAUACCAUAAAGAAACAAACAAUAUGUAUUUAUUUGAUAUAUU